rnacentral:rRNA from 1 species
CAGUCGCCGCGGGAAUACGUAGGUGGCAAGCGUUGUCCGGAAUUAUUGGGCGUAAAGGGCUCGCAGGCGGUUUCUUAAGUCUGAUGUGAAAGCCCCCGGCUCAACCGGGGAGGGUCAUUGGAAACUGGGAAACUUGAGUGCAGAAGAGGAGAGUGGAAUUCCACGUGUAGCGGUGAAUUGCGUAGAGAUGUGGAGGAACACCAGUGGCGAAGGCGACUCUCUGGUCUGUAACUGACGCUGAGGAGCGAAAGCGUGGGGAGCGAACAGGAUUAGAUACCCCUGUAGUCCCUGUCUCUUAUAC